rnacentral:rRNA from 1 species
AUUGAACGCUGGCGGUAUGCUUAACACAUGCAAGUCGAACGGUAACAUGGAGUGCUUGCACUCUGAUGACGAGUGGCGGACGGGUGAGUAACGCGUAGGAAUCUGCCUAGUAGUGGGGGACAACUUGGGGAAACCCAAGCUAAUACCGCAUACGCCCUACGGGGGAAAGCGGGGGCUCUUCGGACCUCGCGCUAUUAGAUGAGCCUGCGUUAGAUUAGCUAGUUGGUGGGGUAAAGGCCUACCAAGGCGACGAUCUAUAGCUGGUCUGAGAGGACGAUCAGCCACACUGGGACUGAGACACGGCCCAGACUCCUACGGGGAGGCAGCAGUGGGGAAUAUUGGACAAUGGGGGCAACCCUGAUCCAGCAAUACCGCGUGUGUGAAGAAGGCCUGCGGGUUG